ACGUACACUCCUGCGGGAGGCAGCAGUGGGGAAUAUUGGACAAUGGGCGCAAGCCUGAUCCAGCCAUGCCGCGUGAGUGAUGAAGGCCCUAGGGUUGUAAAGCUCUUUCACCGGUGAAGAUAAUGACGGUAACCGGAGAAGAAGCCCCGGCUAACUUCGUGCCAGCAGCCGCGGUAAUACGAAGGGGGCUAGCGUUGUUCGGAUUUACUGGGCGUAAAGCGCACGUAGGCGGACUAUUAAGUCAGGGGUGAAAUCCCGGGGCUCAACCCCGGAACUGCCUUUGAUACUGGUAGUCAUGAGUUCGAGAGAGGUGAGUGGAAUUCCGAGUGUAGAGGUGAAAUUCGUAGAUAUUCGGAGGAACACCAGUGGCGAAGGCGGCUCACUGGCUCGAUACUGACGCUGAGGUGCGAAAGCGUGGGGAGCAAACAGGAUUAGAAACCCGAGUAGUCCCAUG
rnacentral:rRNA from 1 species